rnacentral:rRNA from 1 species
GUGGGGAAUAUUGGGCAAUGGGGGAAACCCUGACCCAGCAACGCCGCGUGAGGGAAGAAGGUUUUCGGAUUGUAAACCUCUGUCCUUGGUGACGAAGGAAGUGACGGUAACCAAGGAGGAAGCCCCGGCUAACUACGUGCCAGCAGCCGCGGUAAUACGUAGGGGGCAAGCGUUGUCCGGAAUGACUGGGCGUAAAGGGCGUGUAGGCGGCCGAUUAAGUCUGGAGUGAAAGUCCUGCUUUCAAGGUGGGAAUUGCUUUGGAGACUGGUUGGCUUGAGUGCGGAAGAGGUAAGUGGAAUUCCCAGUGUAGCGGUGAAAUGCGUAGAGAUUGGGAGGAACACCAGUGGCGAAGGCGACUUACUGGGCCGUAACUGACGCUGAGGCGCGAAAGCGUGGGGAGCGAACAGGAUUAGAAACCCCAGUAGUCC